rnacentral:rRNA from 1 species
CCCUCCCUCUGGCGGCAGGCCUAACACAUGCAAGUCGAGCGAGGACUUCGGUCCUAGCGGCGGACGGGUGAGUAACGCGUGGGAACGUGCCCUUUGCUUCGGAAUAGCCCUGGGAAACUGGGAGUAAUACCGGAUGAGCCCUUUGGGGGAAAGAUUUAUCGGCGAAGGAUCGGCCCGCGUUGGAUUAGGUAGUUGGUGGGGUAAUGGCCUACCAAGCCGACGAUCCAUAGCUGGUUUGAGAGGAUGAUCAGCCACACUGGGACUGAGACACGGCCCAGACUCCUACGGGAGGCAGCAGUGGGGAAUCUUAGACAAUGGGGGAAACCCUGAUCUAGCCAUGCCGCGUGAGCGAUGAAGGCCUUAGGGUUGUAAAGCUCUUUCAGCUGGGAAGAUAAUGACGGUACCAGCAGAAGAAGCCCCGGCUAACUCCGUG